CUUCGCCAUUUUAUUUUGUCGGAAGACAAUGGCGAAGUUAUCGCCGUUCGGAUUCCCCCGGAUUUAUAUUUAACGGAUUUCCUUCGACUAGACAAUUUAACCAUGUCCCCUCUGCUGGAAGGACAAACGAAUCUUCCGAGCACUUUCUCGUCGUCAGCUAGCAACAACGGGUUGACGUUCCUGCUCGGAAUAGAAAUAGGAGCGGCCACUCAUCGAAGAAAACCGGUAGCGAUUCCUCCUCCAUUAAGCCAAUUUAACGACACAUCCCGACGGUAACCACCGGAAACCGCGAUAACCAAAGUUUCCGGAACAAAGUUCAUCGAAAGCGGUGGUGGUUUUUUGAUUGUGCAUCGCUACGUUCCGGAGCGUGGAGAAGAGGAAGUUGAACGGAAAGCCAUUGCGGUUCUGCUAAAGUACGACGAAGACCUAGCAAAUGAUUGACUUCAUGGGGAGCUUACACUGGCUUGCCGGAGUCAUAAGUUUUGUUUUAUUAUCGGCUUCUUCGAAACUUUCGUGACUUUUCCUGCUAGCGGGAAGCAAAAAGAAAAAAAAAUAAGAAAAUGACAGGAAAAAAGCAGGAAUCUGCGUUCAAUUAAAUGGGUUUGCUGCAAUCUAUGCCAGGCUACAUUCGAGAGUUUUUUUUUUAAAUUUCCGGUGAUUGCCCUAAACAAUCAGUAGUCUCUUCAGUUUGCUGCUUCGAAGAUGACUACCGUUGGCUCCAAAAAACAUUGCCGUAUUCGAUUACCCAUCAUCUACGGAUCUCAAUAUAUACCAAACGCGAAACGAAUUUGAAAUCCUCCCCAUAAAAGAAUUCAACGUAUUCUAAAGCAGAAGAUCGGUCCACAGCGAUCCCACACGGUGGACGGUCUCGUCAAUACCGAACUGAUCGGUUGGGUUCGGAUGGGCACAACGGUGGCCACCAAUGGAAAACGUUGUGAGUAGUGUUCCUCCCCAUAAACACGGCAAUCAAUAAAAAUGUACGCAAAUAAAUAA